AUUGAAUACACAUAUUUUUAGAUUUUUUUUUUAAUCUUUUAAAUAAUAAUCAACUUUCCUUUUUAAUCUUUUAACUAGUGACCUUAGACACUCAUUAGCAUUUUCCUAAAUACUAAUAAUAAUAAUAAUUUUUUAUUAUGACUUCUACAUUUUCUUUCUUUUUGGUGGUAAGAUUAUGAUUGUUACUGUUAUAAAUUAUAUUGUAGUAAUUUGGCCUUAUAAUAAAGUAUAACUUUAUACACAAUAAAUUUUAAUAAAAAAUUAAAUAUUAUUUAAUGCUUUUA
rnacentral:lncRNA from 1 species